AUGCACGCUGGCGGCGUGCCUAAUACAUGCCAGUCGAGCGAACAGAUGAGGAGCUUGCUCCUCUGACGUUAGCGGCGGACGGGUGAGUAACCCGUGGAUAACCUACCUAUAAGACUGGGAUAACUUCGGGAAACCGGAGCUAAUACCGGAUAAUAUAUUGAACCGCAUGGUUCAAUAGUGAAAGACGGUUUUGCUGUCACUUAUAGAUGGAUCCGCGCCGCAUUAGCUAGUUGGUAAGGUAACGGCUUACCAAGGCAACGAUGCGUAGCCGACCUGAGAGGGUGAUCGGCCACACUGGAACUGAGACACGGUCCAGACUCCUACGGGAGGCAGCAGUAGGGAAUCUUCCGCAAUGGGCGAAAGCCUGACGGAGCAACGCCGCGUGAGUGAUGAAGGUCUUCGGAUCGUAAAACUCUGUUAUUAGGGAAGAACAAAUGUGUAAGUAACUAUGCACGUCUUGACGGUACCUAAUCAGAAAGCCACGGCUAACUACGUG
rnacentral:rRNA from 1 species